AUGUCCAACUAUGUGCAGUACUCAUGACAGAUUUAUAUAAGAGGGAAUAAUACCAUACAAUUCACGUGUUUUGGAUUUGCUAUAUCUUGAAGAAUAUCAAGCAAAUCAGGUUAAUACCAUGUCCCAGUUUAGCAAAACUAAUGUGUUUCAUCCGUUUCAGGGAGGAGUUAUGGGUAUCUCCAUUGAGGUUCGUGAAAGCUUGAAGAUGCUAGAUCAUGAAGGUGAUCACACAAUAGAUGCAAGGGAUUUUCUCUCAGCCGGAAUGUUUAUUUUAAAUUUCGUCCUAAAGACUAUAGUUAUAGCAGUGAUCCUAUUGUUCAAUUAAGAGAAAUAUGACACUCUAGUGCUUUGUUAAUUGGUAAUUCUUUGUUUAUGAUUCUCAAUGUUCUAUGGCUGGAAAAACUUCAUGUUCAGGUGUUCUGGGGUAGUCUGCACCCCUCCGGCCGCAGCUUGCAGCCCCUGCAACAGGGCUGGGCAUUAACUAUAGGAAAUAAUCAAACGACAACAAUCCAGUUCACUUUCAGAUUUAUAAGAGGCUUUUCAUUUUUUUCGCUAUGGCACUCCCUAUUCAGUAGCUAGCAGAACUAGCUUAUAUUAUAUUUAUGUAGAUAGUUAUGAUCCCUUCUAUUAUUUCUUUGAACUACAAGACUAAUCUACAACUAUUUACACGAUAUGUCUAAUUAUCAUUCCUUCCAGCGACAAGCAAACGUAUGAUACCUAGACUUCGAGUAUUUCCUAUACAUUUGAUAUUAGAGUUGUGACACACUUUUCAAUAUCAUGUCUAAUAGGGUUUGCAAGCAUUCUUUCAUUGAUCUAUAGUAAGAACUUGUUGAAUGCUCCUACAAUGAACAACGUAACCUCGGCCAUAUGCUUCCACUAGAUUAGGUAAUUCAUCUAUUUAGGUUGCGCUUGGAAAUUUUGUUAGACUGAAACAUCCCAAAAGUAGCUAUAUACUUCUAGAAUAUACUUUGUGAAUUAUUUGUCAUCCUAAUGGACUCAUUCUAUGCAUGUUCUACUAGACAUUUGGAGGUAAAAUGUCGUUCACAACAUUUUGAGCCUAUGUGAACAUAAUAUUCAAAUGAUAGCCUAAAUUUCAUAAUAAUUCAUGUCAUCUUGCGACCCGUUCAUUUGGGACUCAAAUAGAAUAAUGAUAUGUUUUUCUCUACAAUAAGCACACCUAUCCUGAUAAGGUGCCUUUUUUAAGUACAACGAGCUUUGUUACAACGAUCUUGUCGUCUUAAUUUCAAAAUGUUCAGCUGAUCAUUAUAUCGCCUUUUAUGUUUUUGUUACCGAAGAAUCAUAUAGGACAUGUGUUAAAAAAUGAAAUAUUGGAGAUGUUGUGCAGUUAAUCUCCAACAAAAUGGGACCAGAAAUGACACCAACCUUACAAACCCUAGAAAUAAGAUAAUAUCUUUGAUUGAUUUUUUGGGCUAUAUUUUCAAUUGUGGCCAUAGUAUGCUACUCCCUCCUGCCUAAAAUAAGUAUCGCUGAUUUAAUAUUAAAUUACUACUCCUGGUGAUCAAUUCAAUUGGUGCUCCUCGUGCACAUUGUUCCUUUGACGUUGUUUGUGUUCACCUGGAAAUUAUUCCUUUGACGUUGUUUGUGUUCACCUGGAAAUUAUUCUUACGCACUGCAUGUCAUCACAUGUGCUCCUGGUGCAGAUUGUACCUGCAUUGCGUGUACGAGUAGCUUAAAAGAUAUGUUCAAUUCAAUGGUGAACAUAGUGUUGUACCCCAUGCAAUCUGGUGCAUUGAUUUCGCACUGCCAAGGUUGACUCAAACCCAUCGACUAAUUGAGACUAGUCGAUUUGCUAGGAUCGACUCAUCAUGAGUCGCUACCCCAGAACGACUCAUCGACUCAAAAACCUUGAUCUGGUGUUUUUUCUCUCUUAUUACCUCGUCAAUCUUUUGAUGGAUGGAGGGCUUGCUUUUGUUUAAAAAACGCCCUGUGCUAAUUAGUUAUCUUGUAUUGUUUUCGACAUGUAUAAUCUUCUUUGUUUUGCAUCCAACUAGCUGACCUUUUGCCUGCAUUCUCCUACGAGGUUUCCCUAUACUUGGGAUAGA
rnacentral:lncRNA from 1 species